CGGGCGCACCAACGGGCUGGCACCUUGGCCCCCCGUGGAUUCAAAGGGUGGGGCUCCGCCCCCUCCCGGCCCCGAGUCCGCUUUGAUGUGCUGAUGCGGCCUGGAAGGGGCCACUUCACACCUCUGGCGCGGCAUAAAGCGGUCGCCAGUCCCCAGCCGGCAGACGCGCCGCUGCCGCUAUGGCCCAGCCGCUGUGUGAGUCUUGGAUGUUCUCCGCGGCCUGGGGCCCGGCUCGGCCGCCGCCGUCCUCCGAAAGGGACUGCUCCGCUCCCUCGUCCCCAGACUCGUGGGGCAGCCCCGUGCCGAGCCUCGCGCCACCCUGCGCCCGCCCAGACUCCCGCGCCGGGACAGUGGGGAGACGCAGCGCGCGCAGCAGCCGCCAGGGUAGCGGACAGCGGCAGAGCGCCAGCGAGCGGGAGAAACUGCGCAUGCGCACGCUGGCCCGUGCCCUGCACGAGCUGCGCCGCUUCCUGCCGCCGUCCGUGGCGCCAGCUGGCCAGAGCCUGACCAAGAUCGAGACGCUGCGCCUGGCUAUCCGCUACAUCGGCCACCUGUCGGCCGUGCUGGGCCUCAGCGAGGAGAGUCUGCAGCGCCGAUGCCGGCAGCGCGGGGACGCGGGGUCCCCUCGGGGUUGCCCGCUGUGCCUCGACGGCGGCCCCACGCAGGCGCAGACGGAGACGGAGGGGUGGGAGCCCGGGCCGGGGCCGGGGCCGGGACAGGGGCGCGGGCUGGGCCUGGGCUCUGCCGUCUGCGCCGGGGCGUCCUGGGGGUCCCCGCCCGCCUGCCCCGGAGCCCGAUACACGCCCGAGCUGCUCGACCCGCCUGCGCUCUUCGCCGAUGCGACGUGCCUGGAAGGGCAGGCGAUGGAGCCGAGCCCGCCGUCAGCGCUCCUUCCCGCCGACGUGCUGGCCCUGCUGGAGACCUGGAUGCCCCUCUCGCCUUGGAGUGGCUGCUGGCCUGAGGAGCCCAAUGACAGCGGACAACUGAUGCCCUCUCUGUGAGCACCGAGGCUGUUGUGGCCUCAGCACCUUCGAGGUGGUUCCUCUGCCAACUGCCUUUUCUGGAAGAGGGCACGGCGAUCCCAGCAGGGGCAUUGCUGCGGAAGCUGAAGCACAGGGAGCUAGUAUGCAGCCCCCGGGGACGGGGUCAGCUACAGACGCGUGGCUGAUGACGCCUGUCUUUGCAAGAGCCCUGGCAGCAAGAGCGCUCUUCCCCUGUCAGUCCUUGGUGUGAAGUGGCAGGACCCCUCCCUCCCUCCAGGGACCGGCACCUGCCGCAGGCCUGACCAUCAUGACAGUGAGCAGUUCCAGAGAGAGACCACAGGCAGGCCAGUGAGCAGGGGGCUCAGGGCCUUGCCAGAACCACUGGAAGGGGUGGCCCGCUGGGUGCUCCUGGUGUCACCGAAGCAGAAGGCCUGCCUGAAGGAGGAGUAGAACUGAGAGGUGGAGGGAGACUUGGGAUCCAGCCACACCAUCGGCAUGACUCCUAGAUGGCGAAGUUAUC